rnacentral:lncRNA from 1 species
UUUUGGCUUAUGUGGUUGGCCUCUGGUCCUCCCACACUGGAUGCAUCCCAGCUCCUCACAAUCAGCAGCAGGAAAGAGAUUGUUCAAGGUUGUUACCAUCAACACUCUUCGUCCAUUGCUUAAACCACCAGCUAUGUACAACCAGAAGUACAGCAAGGCUUCCUUCCUACCUACUUCUCCAGCCUUCCCCACCCCACCCCAUCACUCCAUUUUCCAUUCUCCUUUCUUUCCUUCCCUUUACCCUUUGCCACAUUCAUGCAUUGUUUUGCCAUCUAGCAACAAGAAAUCAUUUGAAAUCUCCUAAACAAAGCAUGCUUUGGAAAUUGUAUCUCUGAAUCAUUUCAUAUCUUAUUCCCUCCACCUGAAAUAUUUCAUGAAUGACAUGUGCAUGGAAACUCCUAUUUAUUCCUAAAAACCAAGCUUUACUGUCCCUGUCUGUAUGACACUUUCCUGUGCCUUCAACCCUCCACUUUGCUCUUUCACACGUCAGUCUAAAUUAAUCACUCCUGCCUGUCUGCUGCCGCUCAGUUCUGUUCUUGCACCUUUCCCACUUGAUUACAAUUACUUGUUUGGAUUUCUAUCUCUCUUCUAUAUUAUAACUUGCCAGAAGAAAGGGAGUGCAUUUUACUCCUUUUUCUAACUGCAACACUCAGCACAGUAGCUGGAACAUUACAAGUGCCCAAUAAAAACUUGGUGAGUUGAAGGCAACCCUGAGACUACUGGAAACGUUGCACAGAUUCAAGUUGUCCUAAGGCCAGCUUGAGUUGUCUCCAUUUUUCAGUUAGAAUUGACUGGCUCAAUAACAGAAAUCAUGUUUUGUUUUCUUGCUUUCCUAGCAUCAAGCAUAACUCCCAUGGUUACUCACAUGAUUGUUAAAUGAAUAAAGAUGAUUCAGAGUUAUGGGGUGUGCUAUAACUAUUUUUUUAAAGUACAUACUUAUUUAUUUAUGGCUUAU